GAAAAAGAAUGCAGAAUGUUAAUAUAAAGCUAAUCUAAUAGAUUUGAGAAAAGGGGUGGAGUGGACUGGAUCAUGGAUGACAGGAAGUAACCUGAAAAGUUGUCAUUUUCUGAAGUGGACUAAAUCAACUCAUGGAAAAGGUAAAUAGAUCUAGUCCUAAAAAUAAUAUCAGUAUUAUACUCGUUCAU